rnacentral:rRNA from 1 species
GACGAACGCUGGCGGCGUGCUUAACACAUGCAAGUCGAACGGAAAGGCCUCUUUCGGGGGGUACUCGAGUGGCGAACGGGUGAGUAACACGUGAGUAACCUGCCCUUGACUUUGGGAUAACUUCAGGAAACUGGGGCUAAUACCGGAUAGGUGCUCCUGCUGCAUGGUGGGGGUUGGAAAGUUUCGGCGGUUGGGGAUGGACUCGCGGCCUAUCAGCUUGUUGGUGGGGUAGUGGCUUACCAAGGGUUUGACGGGUAGCCGGCCUGAGAGGGUGACCGGCCACAUUGGGACUGAGAUACGGCCCAGACUCCUACGGGAGGCAGCAGUGGGGAAUAUUGCACAAUGGGUGGAAGCCUGAUGCAGCAACGCCGUGUGCGGGAUGACGGCCUUCGGGUUGUAAACCGCUUUCGCUCAUGACGAAGCUUUGUGUGACGGUAGUGGGUAAAGAAGCACCGGCUAACUACGUG